GACGUAGGUGGCAAGCGUUGUCCGGAUUUACUGGGCGUAAAGGGCUCGUAGGCGGCCAACUAAGUCGGAUGUGAAAUCCCCAGGCUUAACCUGGGAACUGCAUCCGAUACUGGAUGGCUUGAAUCCGGGAGAGGGAUGCAGAAUUCCAGGUGUAGCGGUGAAAUGCGUAGAUAUCUGGAGGAAUACCGGUGGCGAAGGCGGCAUCCUGGACCGGCAUUGACGCUGAUGAGCGAAAGCUAGGGGGGCAAACGGG
rnacentral:rRNA from 1 species